rnacentral:rRNA from 1 species
UAAGUAGGCGAUGAAAUCACCCCGCUCAACGGGGUACACAUCAUCUAAACUGCUCAGCUUGAGGAUGAGAGAGGUUAUUGGAAUUUCUAGUGUAGGAGUGAAAUCCGUAGAUAUUAGAAGGAACACCGAUGGCGUAGGCAGAUAACUGGCUCAUUCCUGACACUAAGGCACGAAAGCGUGGGGAGCGAACGGGAUUAGAUACCCCGGUAGUCCACGCCGUAAACGAUGGAUGCUA